GACGAACGCUGGCGGCGCGCCUAACACAUGCGGGUCGAACGAGCGAGAGAGAGCUUGCUUUCUCGAGCGAGUGGCGAACGGGUGAGUAACGCGUGAGGAACCUGCCUCAAAGAGGGGGACAACAGUUGGAAACGACUGCUAAUACCGCAUAAGCCCACGGUGCCGCAUGGCACAGAGGGAAAAGGAGCAAUCCGCUUUGAGAUGGCCUCGCGUCCGAUUAGCUAGUUGGUGAGGUAAUGGCCCACCAAGGCGACGAUCGGUAGCCGGACUGAGAGGUUGAACGGCCACAUUGGGACUGAGACACGGCCCAGACUCCUACGGGAGGCAGCAGUGGGGAAUAUUGCACAAUGGGGGAAACCCUGAUGCAGCGACGCCGCGUGGAGGAAGAAGGUCUUCGGAUUGUAAACUCCUGUUGUUGGGGAAGAUAAUGACGGUACCCAACAAGGAAGUGACGGCUAACUACGUA
rnacentral:rRNA from 1 species